rnacentral:lncRNA from 1 species
CGCUGAGGAGCCGGAGUGCAGGCGGUCGGGAGCCCACUGGGCUGCGAGCCGCUCUCGCCUCGGACUUGUCGACCGCCCUGUUGGAGGCAGAACUGCCCACAGCCGCAGCCGCGAGUGGUUGCUGAGGGAAGGCGGCCCUCGGGUGUGCAGGGUUGAUGGGGACGCGGGACCGGACCACAGCCAGGGCGGCACCUAGUAACGCGUAUGCCUCUUUUGGUGACAGCGUAAAAACCGAGUAUCCGUUUCUUCUGUCCUCUUCUCUCUUCCCAACCCUUGGUACUCCCACCCCUUUUAUGCCUCCUCCCAUCCGCUUUUUCGGAUUAAAAAGACAAAGAAGAUGGAGUUUCUACAACUCCUAAGAUAAAUUUGACGUUAA